GGAAUGAGUUGGAAAGAGUCAUAUCACGACUCAUAAUCGAUUGGUCCCCAGUUCAAGUCUGGGAGGGGCCACCA
rnacentral:tRNA from 2 species